rnacentral:rRNA from 1 species
AUGCGUGUAUUUGCUCCCUUCUUCGCUAUUAUUUCUUUCUUUCUUUGUGCCUUUGUGGUGUUGUUUCCUUGCCGGUGCCGAUUGAUAUUUGACAGGCUUGUUUCGGCUGCGGUGGGUGUCCUCCCCGUUUUUUUCUUUCUCCCCAUGGAUUACAUGGUAGGGGCCGUAGUGGUGGAUGCUUCCUGUGUAUCAUCACGUGUUGCUGUUGGUGCGGUCCAUUGGGGGUUUGGAUUAAGUGCUUUGUGGCUGCCGGGAUGUGGUGCUGUCGAUGGGUUUGUUUUUUUAGAAGAAAAGGGCUCCCGCCCCGGCUCCAUUUGA